rnacentral:rRNA from 1 species
GACGAACGCUGGCGGCGUGCCUAACACAUGCAAGUCGAACGGAGUUAACUUUUUAGAUCCCUUCGGGGUGACGAGAUAUUAACUUAGUGGCGGACGGGUGAGUAACGCGUGAGCAACCUGCCUUACAGAGGGGGACAACAGUUGGAAACGACUGCUAAUACCGCAUAACAUACCGAGUGGGCAUCCACAUGGUAUCAAAGGAGCAAUUCGCUGUAAGAUGGGCUCGCGUCCGAUUAGAUAGUUGGUGAGGUAACGGCUCACCAAGUCGACGAUCGGUAGCCGGACUGAGAGGUUGAACGGCCACAUUGGGACUGAGACACGGCCCAGACUCCUACGGAGGCAGCAGUGGGGGAUAUUGCACAAUGGAGGAAACUCUGAUGCAGCAACGCCGCGUGAGGGAAGAAGGUUUUCGGAUUGUAAACCUACUGUUUUUAGUCUAAGAACAAAUGACGGUAGCUAAAGAGGAAGCCACGGCUAACUACGUAG